rnacentral:rRNA from 1 species
GUGGGGAAUAUUGGACAAUGGGGGCAACCCUGAUCCAGCCAUGCCGCGUGAGUGAUGAAGGCCUUCGGGUUGUAAAGCUCUUUUGGCGGGGACGAUGAUGACGGUACCCGCAGAAUAAGCCCCGGCUAACUUCGUGCCAGCAGCCGCGGUAAGACGAAGGGGGCUAGCGUUGUUCGGAAUUACUGGGCGUAAAGCGCGUGUAGGCGGUUAUCCAAGUCGGGUGUGAAAGCCUUGAGCUUAACUCAAGAAAUGCACUCGGUACUGGGUGACUAGAGGACCGGAGAGGAUAGUGGAAUUCCCAGUGUAGUGGUGAAAUACGUAGAGAUUGGGAAGAACACCAGUGGCGAAGGCGGCUAUCUGGACGGUUUCUGACGCUAAGACGCGAAAGCGUGGGGAGCAAACAGGAUUAGAAACCCCAGUAGUCC